rnacentral:rRNA from 1 species
GACGAACGCUGGCGGCGUGCUUAACACAUGCAAGUCGAACGGAAAGGCCCUGCUUUUGUGGGGUGCUCGAGUGGCGGACGGGUGAGUAACACGUGAGUAACCUGCCCUUGACUUUGGGAUAACUUCAGGAAACUGGGGCUAAUACCGGAUAGGAGCUCCUGCUGCAUGGUGGGGGUUGGAAAGUUUCGGCGGUUGGGGAUGGACUCGCGGCUUAUCAGCUUGUUGGUGGGGUAGUGGCUUACCAAGGCUUUGACGGGUAGCCGGCCUGAGAGGGUGACCGGCCACAUUGGGACUGAGAUACGGCCCAGACUCCUACGGGAGGCAGCGGUGGGGAAUAUUGCACAAUGGGCGGAAGCCUGAUGCAGCAACGCCGCGUGCGGGAUGACGGCCUUCGGGUUGUAAACCGCUUUCGCCUGUGACGAAGCGUGAGUGACGGUAAUGGGUAAAGAAGCACCGGCUAACUACGUG